UGGGGAAUUUUGGACAAUGGGGGAAACCCUGAUCCAGCCAUCCCGCGUGUGCGAUGAAGGCCUUCGGGUUGUAAAGCACUUUUGGCAGGAAAGAAACGUCGCGGGUUAAUACCCCGCGAAACUGACGGUACCUGCAGAAUAAGCACCGGCUAACUACGUGCCAGCAGCCGCGGUAAUACGUAGGGUGCAAGCGUUAAUCGGAAUUACUGGGCGUAAAGCGUGCGCAGGCGGUUCGGAAAGAAAAAUGUGAAAUCCCAGAGCUUAACUUUGGAACUGCAUUUUUAACUACCGGGCUAGAGUGUGUCAGAGGGAGGUGGAAUUCCGCGUGUAGCAGUGAAAUGCGUAGAUAUGCGGAGGAACACCGAUGGCGAAGGCAGCCUCCUGGGAUAACACUGACGCUCAUGCACGAAAGCGUGGGGAGCAAACAGGAUUAGAUACCCUGGUAGUCCACGCCCUAAACGAUGUCAACUAGCUGUUGGGGCCUUCGGGCCUUGGUAGCGCAGCUAACGCGUGAAGUUGACCGCCUGGGGAGUACGGUCGCAAGAUUAAAACUUAAAUGAAUUGACGGGGGUCAUAGCUG
rnacentral:rRNA from 1 species